AACUAACGCUGGCGGCGUGCCUAACACAUGCAAGUCGAACGAGAAAGCCGCAAGGUGAGUAAAGUGGCGGACGGGUGCGUAACACGUGGGUAAUCUACCUAUUGGCUUGGGAUAACAGUCCGAAAGGAUUGCUAAUACCGGAUAAGACCACAGCCCUGCGGGGUGGUGGGAAAAGGUGCUCGCAAGGGUGCCACCGAUUGAUGAGCCCGCGGCCUAUCAGCUAGUUGGCGGGGUAAGGCCCACCAAGGCUACGACGGGUAACUGGUCUGAGAGGACGACCAGUCACACUGGAACUGAGACACGGUCCAGACUCCUACGGGAGGCAGCAGUGGGGAAUAUUGCGCAAUGGACGAAAGUCUGACGCAGCGACGCCGCGUGGGGA
rnacentral:rRNA from 1 species